rnacentral:rRNA from 1 species
UGCUUACACAUGCAGUCGAACGGUAGCAGCAGAGCUUGCUCUGGCUGACGAGUGGCGGACGGGUGCGUAACGCGUGGGAAUUUACCUUGUAGCGGGGGAUAGCCCGGAGAAAUCCGGAUUAAUACCGCAUAAUCUCUACGGAGCAAAGUGGGGGAUCUUCGGACCUCACGCUAUUAGAUGAGCCCGCGUUAGAUUAGCUUGUUGGUGAGGUAAUGGCUCACCAAGGCGACGAUCUAUAGCUGGUUUGAGAGGAUGAUCAGCCACACUGGGACUGAGACACGGCCCCACACUAAUACGGGAGGCAGCAGUGGGGAAUAUUGGACAAUGGGCGCAAGCCUGAUCCAGCAAUACCGCGUGUGUGAAGAAGGCCUGAGGGUUGUAAAGCACUUUCAAUAGAGACGAAAAGCUUAGGGUUAAUAACCCUGAGUCCUGACUUAACCUAUAGAAGAAGCACCGGCUAACUCCGUGCCAGCAGCCGCGGUAAUACGGAGGGUGCAAGCGUUAAUCGGAAUUACUGGGCGUAAAGCGCUCGUAGGCGGUUUGUUAAGUCGGAUGUGAA